GAGUUUGAUCAUGGCUCAGGAUGAACGCUAGCGGCAGGCUUAACACAUGCAAGUCGAGGGGUAUAGUUCUUCGGAAUUAGAGACCGGCGCACGGGUGCGUAACGCGUAUGCAAUCUACCUUUCACAGAGGGAUAGCCCAGAGAAAUUUGGAUUAAUACCUCAUAGUAUAACGACUCCGCAUGGAGAUGUUAUUAAAGUCACAACAGUGAAAGAUGAGCAUGCGUCCCAUUAGCUAGUUGGUAAGGUAACGGCUUACCAAGGCUACGAUGGGUAGGGGUCCUGAGAGGGAGAUCCCCCACACUGGUACUGAGACACGGACCAGACUCCUACGGGAGGCAGCAGUGAGGAAUAUUGGACAAUGGGCGCAAGCCUGAUCCAGCCAUGCCGCGUGCAGGAUGACGGUCCUAUGGAUUGUAAACUGCUUUUGCAUAGGAAGAAACAACUCUACGUGUAGAGUCUUGACGGUACUGUGAGAAUAAGGAUCGGCUAACUCCGUGCCAGCAGCCGCGGUAAUACGGAGGAUCCAAGCGUUAUCCGGAAUCAUUGGGUUUAAAGGGUCCGUAGGCGGUUUAGUAAGUCAGUGGUGAAAGCCCAUCGCUCAAC
rnacentral:rRNA from 1 species